GAAACCGUUCAGGGGUAANCCUGAGAAACCCAAAAGAUCGAAUGGGGAGAUUCAUCGUCAGCUCAUUUUAUAUAUAUGCUAGUUAUGAUAUGGGUUACUACUUCUGUAGUAUUGCCUAUACAUUCUUGUAUAUUUAAUUGUAAAUUGUGUCGGCGUGCACUUCUCCCCUAGUAGGACAUCGCGACCCGUUGAGUUGUUGUUGGUCUACGGCCCAAGUGGGAGCUUUCAAUGAAUUUUAUUUAUUGAAAACCCUUGGUGUUUUCUGACUGGCACUCGUCGGUAUUCGUAUGGUAUUGAGCCGCAUAUUAUAUGCGUUCUAUCUGUCGCAAGCGAGAUUAACUAUUGAUAGUGCGGACCUAGUGCCGUCGUCGGUAUUAAUCAGCUGUUGGUAGUACAGAAUUCUAGGACUGGCUUAUUUGAAAUACUAGUCAGCGAUGCUAUUGCUUUGGGUACUUUCAGGACCCGUCUUGAAACACGGACCAAGGAGUCUAACAUGUACGCGAGUCAUUGGGAUUUUUAUAAAUUAAACCUAAAGGCGUAAUGAAAGUAAAGGUCGUCCUUGUGUCGACUAAGGGAGGAUGAGCUGCGUUGUAUAAUACAGCUUCGCACUCUCGGGGCGUCUCAUUCUCAUUGCGAGAAGAGGCGCACCUAGAGCGUACACGUUGG
rnacentral:rRNA from 1 species